AGCUCAUCAUACGUGGAAUCCAGGAAC
rnacentral:piRNA from 1 species